UACGUAGGGUGCGAGCGUUAAUCGGAAUUACUGGGCGUAAAGCGCUCGUAGGCGGCACCGCAAGUGUGGGGUGAAAUCCCACGGCUUACCCGUGGAACUGGCCUGGCAGACUGCGGUGCUAGAGGAUGGUAGGGGAGAGCGGAACUCUUGGUGGAGCGGUGAAAUGCGUAGAUAUCAAGAGGAACACCGGUGGCGAAGGCGGCUCUCUGGUCCAAACCUGACGCUGAGGAGCGAAAGCUAGGGGAGCAAACGGG
rnacentral:rRNA from 1 species